rnacentral:rRNA from 1 species
GAUGAACGCUGGCGGCGUGCCUAAUACAUGCAAGUCGAGCGAACAGACGAGGAGCUUGCUCCUCUGACGUUAGCGGCGGACGGGUGAGUAACACGUGGAUAACCUACCUAUAAGACUGGGAUAACUUCGGGAAACCGGAGCUAAUACCGGAUAAUAUAUUGAACCGCAUGGUUCAAUAGUGAAAGACGGUUUUGCUGUCACUUAUAGAUUGAUCCGCGCCGCAUUAGCUAGUUGGUAAGGUAACGGCUUACCAAGGCAACGAUGCGUAGCCGACCUGAGAGGGUGAUCGGCCACACUGGAACUGAGACACGGUCCAGACUCCUAAGGGAGGCAGCAGUAGGGAAUCUUCCGCAAUGGGCGAAAGCCUGACGGAGCAACGCCGCGUGAGUGAUGAAGGUCUUCGGAUCGUAAAACUCUGUUAUUAGGGAAGAACAAAUGUGUAAGUAACUAUGCACGUCUUGACGGUACCUAAUCAGAAAGCCACGGCUAACUACGUG